rnacentral:piRNA from 1 species
CGCAGGACACUCCACCAUCCCCCAAG